rnacentral:tRNA from 1 species
GGCCGCCUGGCGAAAUGGCAUCGCGUCUGACUACGAACUUCGGUUGAUCAGGAGAUUGCAGGUUCGACCCUGCGGUGGUCA